rnacentral:pre_miRNA from 1 species
GAUAAAACCACUUUUUCACCUUUUAUCUUUAAUUUUUAACUCUUCGUCCUAUUUAAAAGUUUUUUGCGAUUGAUAUUUUUGUUUUUAUUAGAUGAUAAAUCAUGAAUAGUACUUUACGUGUAACUAAUUUUUUUCUAAUUUUCUAAAAGUUUUUCAAAUAAGAUGAAUGGUCAAAUGUUGGAUAGGAAAAGCGAAG